ensembl:rRNA 5S_rRNA 5S ribosomal RNA
GUUUGUUUCUGACACUGAAUACACCUGAUCUCAUCUGAUCUGCAAAGCUAAGCAGGGUUGAGCCUGGUUAGUAUUUGGAUGGGAGACUACCUGGGAAUACCAGGUGCUGUAAGCU